AACGAACGCUGGCGGCAGGCCUAACACAUGCAAGUCGAGCGCACCCUUCGGGGUGAGCGGCGGACGGGUGAGUAACGCGUGGGAACGUGCCCUUCUCUGCGGAAUAGCCUCGGGAAACUGAGAGUAAUACCGCAUACGCCCUUUGGGGGAAAGAUUUAUCGGAGAAGGAUCGGCCCGCGUUGGAUUAGGUAGUUGGUGGGGUAAUGGCCCACCACGCCGACGAUCCAUAGCUGGUUUGAGAGGAUGAUCAGCCACACUGGGACUGAGACACGGCCCAGACUCCUACGGGAGGCAGCAGUGGGGAAUCUUAGACAAUGGGGGCAACCCUGAUCGAGCCAGGCCGCGUGAGUGAUGAAGGCCUUAGGGUUGUAAAGCUCUUUCAGCUGGGAAGAUAAUGACGGUACCAGCAGAAGAAGCCCCGGCUAACUCCGUG
rnacentral:rRNA from 1 species